GACGAACGCUGGCGGUGUGCUUAACACAUGCAAGUCGAACGGAAAGGCCCUGCUUUUGUGGGGUGCCCGAGUGGCGAACGGGUGAGUAACACGUGAGUAACCUGCCCUAGACUUUGGGGUAACUUCAGGAAACUGGGGCUACUAUCGGAUAGGAGCCCCUGUUGCAUGGAGGGGGUUGGAAAGUUUCUGCGGUUGGGGAUGGACGGGCGGCUUAUGAGCUUGCUGGUGGGGGAGUGGCAUACCCAGGCUUUGACGGGUACCCGGCCUGUGAGGGUGACCGGCGACAAGGGGACUGCGGUACGGCCCAGACGGCUACGGGAGACAGCAGUGGGGAAUAUUACACAGUGGGCCGGAGCCUGAUACAGCAACGCCGCGUGCGGGAAGACGGCCUUCUGGUAGAAAACCGCUUCCGCCUGUGACGAAGCGUGAGUGACGGUAAUGGGUGAAUAAGCACCGGCUAACUACGUG
rnacentral:rRNA from 1 species